AAAAGUAGGUGUCUACACUACCAGGAACCAAAUCAAUCAUUAUAGUCCCGUGAUCCGAAAUAAAAAUAGGGAAAUUCCAAACUUUUGCCUCCGGAAACGCUGUUCUCCAACCAUCAUUACAGUAUGCUCGGUCAAGCUGCUCAAAGAUUAUAUCCCCAUUCUAAGGGACAUUAACGUUUAGAAGGUAACGGGGGUAACGGUAGAUGGUGACGGUGAAUCCUCAAUUGCGCGCUGCCAAUUUGGAACAGUGCAUCGUUAAAAUCCAAAAAGUAACAAAAUACAAAACCUUCCCAAUCUUCUCUUUACUCCUUCAGUUUUUCGUCCACCAGAAACCACUUUCUCACCUGGAAACGAGCAUUGUCCAUUAAUCCCGAAGAUAUCUCAGUCGGACGGAGCUAAUUCCCUCAUUUUCUGGGUUCCGAACAUACGUGCAAUUAGAUCUUUUUUUUUUGACAGGAAAGCUCAACUUACUCUAUUAAGGCUUGUCCUUAAGGACCAAAAGAGCUACAUCAGUUGGCACUCCUCCAUCCACACUAGCGUCUCUUCGAAACCAAGAGAGGCACUAGUCAUGGCAUGGGCUGCCUUAUUACAUUUUCUGUUUGCAAAAAGGAAAUUACAAGCUUCGAAGCCAGCAGCCAGGUUCAAAGUAUCAUCAACGAUAAUCUGUGCUCUUAAAUUUUCUUUCUUCUUAUGUCUGAGCAUCUCAAUCAGGUAUUGGCAGUCACUCUCAAGCUCCACUUUUCUGAACCAUGCAUCCCACGCAUACUGCAGUCCAAAUUGGGCAGCUAAAGCCUCUGCCUGGAGAGCUGUCAUGGCUGAUCCCCUACAUUCAUCUGCAGACAUCAGGGUGUCUCCUACUGAAUCGCGUACAACCAUGCCUAUGCCUAUCUUAUUCUCCCUUACAGCUGUGUCUUUAUUUAUCACUCUGCCUUGGGUGGGUGCCGGCCACCCAUUUUCAGUAUUCUGUUGUGCAUCAACUUAAUUUGUCAGUUUCACGAUGCCUUGCAGCUUCAUACUCGCCUAGUAGACUUACAGUACGCAUACCAGCUAGACCAGGGUAUGUUCUUUUUCUUUCAAAUACCCAUGUGAUGCGAUUGCUCCAUAUCUGCCGCAUGAACAUCAUGAUUAGCUCCCAUGCCCUCUCCUCCUUCCAAGAUGAAAAGUUUGUUUUGUGGGUAUCUCAAUUUCUUUGAGUUAGGGAUUCAAAUAUGUGUCUUAGUGGAAUUUGUUUUGAUUUCUUGAUAUGUGAUUGGUAUAAUUUAAAUAUUUUGAUGAAGUUAAAUCAAUUUUGAAA